GCGGCGGCGGCGGCGGCGAGGGGGGGGAAGAUGGCGGACGUGCUCAGCGUCCUGCGACAGUACAACAUCCAGAAGAAGGAGAUUGUGGUGAAGGGAGACGAGGUGAUCUUCGGCGAGUUCUCCUGGCCCAAGAAUGUGAAGACCAACUAUGUAGUUUGGGGGACUGGAAAGGAAGGCCAGCCCAGAGAGUACUACACAUUGGAUUCUAUCUUGUUUCUACUUAAUAAUGUGCACCUUUCUCAUCCUGUUUAUGUCCGACGUGCCGCCACUGAAAAUAUUCCUGUGGUUAGAAGACCUGACCGAAAAGAUCUGCUUGGAUAUCUCAAUGGUGAAGCAUCAACAUCAGCAAGCAUAGACAGAAGUGCCCCUCUAGAAAUAGGUCUUCAGCGAUCUACCCAAGUCAAAAGAGCUGCAGACGAAGUUUUAGCAGAAGCAAAGAAACCACGAAUUGAGGAUGAAGAGUGUGUGCGUCUUGAUAAAGAAAGAUUGGCUGCUCGUUUGGAGGGUCACAAAGAAGGGAUUGUACAGACUGAGCAGAUCAGGUCUUUGUCUGAAGCUAUGUCAGUGGAAAAAAUUGCUGCAAUCAAAGCCAAAAUUAUGGCUAAGAAAAGAUCUACUAUCAAGACUGAUUUAGAUGAUGAUAUAACUGCCCUCAAACAGAGGAGUUUUGUGGACGCUGAGGUGGAUGUGACACGAGAUAUUGUCAGCAGAGAGAGAGUAUGGAGGACACGAACAACUAUCUUACAGAGCACAGGAAAGAAUUUUUCCAAGAAUAUUUUUGCAAUUCUUCAGUCUGUAAAAGCCAGAGAAGAAGGACGUGCUCCUGAACAGCGACCAGCUCCAAAUGCAGCACCUGUGGAUCCUACGUUGCGUACCAAACAGCCUAUCCCAGCUGCCUACAAUAGAUAUGACCAGGAAAGAUUCAAAGGAAAAGAAGAAACGGAAGGCUUCAAAAUUGACACUAUGGGUACCUACCAUGGUAUGACGCUGAAAUCUGUAACGGAGGGUGCAUCAGCCCGUAAGACCCAGACUCCUGCAGCACAGCCAGUACCAAGACCAGUUUCUCAAGCAAGACCUCCCCCAAAUCAGAAGAAAGGAUCUCGAACACCCAUUAUCAUAAUUCCUGCAGCUACCACCUCUUUAAUAACCAUGCUUAAUGCAAAGGACCUUCUACAGGACCUGAAAUUUGUCCCAUCAGAUGAAAAGAAGAAACAAGGCUGCCAACGAGAAAAUGAAACUUUAAUACAGAGAAGAAAAGAUCAGAUGCAACCAGGGGGCACUGCAAUUAGUGUCACAGUUCCUUAUAGAGUAGUAGACCAGCCGCUUAAACUUAUGCCUCAAGACUGGGAUCGGGUUGUAGCAGUUUUUGUGCAGGGUCCUGCAUGGCAGUUCAAAGGCUGGCCAUGGCUUUUGCCUGAUGGAUCACCAGUUGACAUAUUUGCUAAAAUUAAAGCCUUCCAUCUCAAAUAUGAUGAAGUUCGUCUAGAUCCAAACGUUCAGAAAUGGGAUGUAACAGUAUUAGAACUCAGCUAUCACAAACGUCAUUUGGAUAGACCAGUUUUCUUACGGUUCUGGGAAACAUUGGAUAGGUACAUGGUAAAGCAUAAAUCCCACUUGAGAUUCUGAAUUUUACUUGGUUUCCCAUUUUCUGGAGAUCUGGAUUAAGAAACAUGGAUAUACCUUGACCUAAAGACUGAGACUCAAGCUUUAUGAAUUUAUCAAGAACUUACAAAUGAAGAAGGUCACAGAUCCAUCUUUUAUAAGACCUUAUUUGAUGCUUUAUGCUUCAAAGGGAUGAUGCUUGUCAUCCAUAUAAGCAAACUUUUUGGCUUACAACUAUUUUUUUAAUAUUAGCCUUCUAGUCUGUAACGGAAAUUGUAUAUUUUGAUAGAAGUUUUUUCUCCAUUGGUUAAAUUAGCAUUACUUAAAAUUUGUUUCUUUAGAAAAUAAAUGCAGGUUAUAAAUGUGUGUAUAUUUAGAGGUUAUAAGGCUCUCUAAGCCAUCUUCUGAUUUUUCAUUGCUCUAUAAUUCCUUUUAUUGAAAAUAGUAUGCUAUGAAUGGUAUCAAAUUUUAUUCUCUGGAACUUCCAAAACUAGCAAAGGGAUGUGACUAUUUUGAAUGAAUCAGAAUGUCAACCUGUAUGUAUACUAUACCUAUACUUAUUCUUUAUUUAAAAAAGAAUAAUGAAAAAUCAAGAACAACUCUUCAGCUUUGGUUGAACUGUUCGGCCUUUUCAAGACUUCUUUACUUACAAUGAAUACAUUGAAUGAAUGUACAUUCUUCUUUCUCACUGACUUUGGUGAUUUUAAAACUUAGAAUGAUAUAUUUCUAUCUGUGCUAUCUUUCCACUUGAAAAAUCUCAGAAGACAGAUUAAAAACAUGAUAGGCUGUAGUACUUUUUGUUUUGGGAGCCAGAGUAUGUUUGGGGGAAAGAAAUGUAUUAGUCCUACUACAAUGUAACUUUAACUUUCUUAUCUUUCUCAUAAGUUCACCUUUGAAUCUUACUUUGUAUGUAUGGUAUAGGUUUUGAGUCUUCUGUUUCUAGGCAUGUUGAUCUUGGAGUUCUUAUCUUCCAUUAUCCCUAAAUAUUGAUAACUCUCCCAGACACCAAAGAACACAUUUGCUUAAUUAAGUGUCUGAACAGAAACAAGAUAAAAACACUGGUAUUUUUAUGUGCGUAUUCAAUAUCGUAUAAAAUAUAAAACCUAUAUUUUAACUUAGUAAAAUAUUUUACUACUUCUCUAGAGUGUUGCAUCCAAGGUACAAUGAAUGAGCAUUUUCCUUGAGUCUUGAUUUCACCUUUUAUUACUUAAAAGCAACUGGAACCUCUACUCCCCUAAAGAGUUUUCGCCAUUAGGAUUGUUGCUGAUUGUUCAUCUUGUGUCAUUUUUUUCUCCAUUUUUUCCCCAGUGAUCUCUCUUAGAUGAACAUUUUUUUAGUAAACAUUUAGCUCCUUCUUAUGUUAUGCUGACAUUACCUAGCUUCAUUUUGAAAUUUAAUGCUAUCAUAAGAAUGAGAAGCACUUAUUUAUUUUUAAAGUAAUCACAAAAGUCCAUACCAAUAGUGGAUAGAAAAAAGUAUUUAUUCAUGUGGAAUUCACUAUGUUCUUAAGAAAAGCAGUCAGCAUUUUAAAUUAUUAGAUUAUAGGAUAUUUAUAAGGUUUGAACAGAUUCUACCCCCUUCCUUUCUGUGAACCUCUCUUCUUGAAAACAAAAGAACUCAAAUUUGUUCACUUUAGACUUUCUCAUCAUAUAAACUGUUUUCAAAAUGAAUUAAUGUAUUGUAUAAACUUUCUCCAUGAUGAAAUCGUCAAAGACUAGAAUCUGUACUAUUUUAAUGUAAGAUUACUUGUUAAGACUACUACAAGUGGACGAGAACUACCUUUCUAUAAAAAUUUUUAGUAUUUAUACUUAUGUCAUAUAUGAAAUUUACUUGAUACAGAGUGUGGUUAAAAUUGGGAACAUCUACUUUAAACAGGGUUUAUUUUUCUAUCUUGAAUUUGCCUUAUGUAUAUUCAAAGGCUUCUGGAAAUACUGUAAAGGAACAUUAGGAAAAGUACAAAUAUGCUAUGCUGUAUGUAUUUUAAAAUCAAACCCUUAGUAUGUACUUAAUUUUCUUUUUCUUUUUUCAGCAGUUCAGUCCCUCAUUUAGGUCCAUGUAAUUAAUGUAAUAGUCAUUAAUUCCAAAACAAUUUUUUUUCAGCCAGUCAUUAUUCGUUAUCUCAUGACUCCCAAGUCCUACAGCAGCACCUAUCACUGUGCCUUGCACAUAGUAGGCAUUCAGUAAAUAUUUAUAUGCAUGAAUUAAUGAACUUUUCAGUGUGACUGAUUUAUUACAAAAAGUACUUUGACUAGGUCUUGGAGUUUGAAAAUACAGAAAUACAGGGAAUGAAGAGGUACACAUAGAUGUUUAAUGGAAAUGAGGUAUACAUUAAUGACCUUGACUUACCAUAAGUUACUGUUAACUGGAGACACCCUUGCUUGUCCCAUUGGUAAAAGAAAACUCCCAUUUCUUUAUUCAUAGGACACUUUCUGAGUCAGGUAACAUUAAGAAACUUGUAGGUUUCAGUCAGUUAAUUGUUCAACCUUGACUGCACGUUAGAAUCACUUGGGGGACCUUUUAAAUAUUUAUUGCCUGAUUCCUGAUUCUGAUUUAAUUUGUGCUGAGACCUGAUCAUCAGUAUCUUUAAAAAGUUGUUUAGGUAAUUUCAUGUUCAGAAAGGAUUGAGAAUCACUGAUUUAAUUUGUUGUUGAAAACAAUGCCCAGUAUUAAAUGUCGUAUUUCCUCAUCUCCCGCCUUCCCUCCCUCCCUCCCUUCCAUCCUUCCUUCUCUCCGUUCUGCCCUCCCUCCUUCUCUCCCUUCUGCCCUCCCUCCUUCUCUCCCUUCUUUCCUUCUCCCUGCUUUCCUUCUUUCGUUCUUUGUUUCCUGCUUUUACUUUUCCUCUUGGUGGCCACCCUUUGCACUAGACUGACCCCCUUAUUGAUGGUAUUGGCCUGUAGUUCCACAUAACAAAUUCAAGUCUUAUUUAUUUAAUAUAGGAGUAUUUUGCUGUUUAAUAUUUAAACAAUGUUUAAUAUAUUGCAUUAUAAACUAGUAUUAUAGUUUAUGAUUUGUUUCCCAUGUGUCCUUAUCCUUAUUUUUUUUUUAACAGCAGCAUGAUAACAAUCCAUACAGAAAUAACUAGUUCAUAAUGAGGAAAAUUUCAUAAUAAUUUUUAAGGUAGAAGAACGUAAAGGAUUAAUUUCUUAUCUGCCAUGCAGAAUUAGUUUGCUUAUGAAAGGAAAGAGGCAUCCUUUUUAAUUGGUCUGCACAGAAAAGUAAAUUAUUCAUUUAAAUAAAAUUCAUUAUCAAACAUUGAAGGAAAUAUUUUUCCAAAAUAAAAAUUUUUGUGACUCCUAACAAAGUUAAAGUGAUACAUUGUUCUUUUUUGGAGGGUGGGGAGGGAGUAUUUAGUUUCCAUAUUUCUUACUAUAUAACAAUUCCAUUUUAUUGGUAUUAACAGUAGAAAAUGAUGAUAGGAUACACAUUAUGUGGCCAGAAAUAAAAUGCCACUUUGUCAGAUAACAAUUAUCUGAGUCUUAGUUGUUGAACUAAUUAGUUUAUAAAACUUUUUGAGACCAACAGUGUAUUUUAUAAAUAUUAUAAAAGCUGACCAAAAUUAAAACAUGAAAAAUAAAUUUGAUUACAUGAGCCUUAAAUAUUACUUGACUGAAUUUUUAUUCACUUGGAUUUGAUAGUCAACUGGUUACCCUAACCAUAGUAAAUUAACUUUAGAAAUAAAAAAGUAAAAAUCACUGAAUUUGACUUAAGAACUGGAUUAGGAAUUUUGAAAUGUCAUGUCCUGUAUGUUCUGGCCUAUCCAAUGCCACAUUUGGCUGUAUAGUGAUGCCAGCAUGGUUUCUAUCUGUAUAUGUUGGAAUGAUAACCAAGGAAAAAUUGGAAAUGUAUAAUAGGUGUAUAAAAAUUAUAUUUAGUAAAUGCAUAAUAUGCAGUAAUACUUUCAGGUCAUUCAUCUUUUGGGGCUUAUAUGUAUUAUUUUAGGUAGUGUUUAUUAGACUGAUCUUGAGAGUUAUAUAUAAAUGUAUGCCAUUUAAAUGAGUAAAUCUAAGGAGAUUAAUUUUAUUGCCAAAAUUCAAAAAGUGAAGUGAUGGUAUGUCAAAUUUAGGUAGGUGAUGUAUCUCUCUGAGAGUUUUGUUUGCUACUGAAUUCCAUUUCUAUCCAGUUUAAGUUUGCUAAAAGCUACUUAACCUCCAAGUUUGGUUAUAUAGUGCUUUAUAUAUAAUGUAGUUCAUUUACAUGGUAUAGGCACUAUAAAUGAUUGUUUACCCCCCAGUUUGUAUAUUUCUCAUGCAGUGGAACUUAAAUUUAGGCCCUGUGACCUGAUUAAAUGUUAUACUCAUUCUUACUCCAUUUCAGUGGAUUUUUAAGUUUCAACUUGUAAAUAAGUUUUGGGUAUAUUCCCACCCCCACUUUUGCCCUAGUCUUCUUCCUUCCAACCAAAAACACAUUCAACCAAGAAUACAGAAACUGUAUUGUGGUGUAGGAUAUGGACGAUGACAGUCUUUUCAAAAAGGGAUUUAUGAGAUUUUUCAGGCAUUGUAUUUGUUUUGAAAAUAAACGUAAUGGAAGUUUUCACUUUGAAAACUAAAGAGUUAAGUACAUUUACAGUCUUCUGUUAAUGUGUUAAAUACUGGAGAGAAUCACAAUUCUUCCUAAAAGUAACAAGCUACAUGCUCUAAUGAGCUUAGUUUGGUUAUUGUCCAACUUACCAAGUCCUUAUUGUUAGAAUGUUAUUUACCAGCAUACACUCUUAAUUCUAUUAUCUUUCAGCAGUUUGGGCACCCGGAUUUUAACAUUUUGUAGUUUGAAAACAAACUGCACUCCGCAUAUAAUCAAAUCAUUAACAACAUCAUGGUAUUAUUGGUGGUGCCAGUAAUAAUGUUUAACUCUUUUGCAACAAAAUUCCUUUAAUGAAGUGUUUAAUGGGCCCUAUUCAAAUUUAAUUUCCAUUCAGUUCAUAAGUGCCUACUAAAUAUGUAUUUUAUCCUGCUCUUCUGUUCAUUUGAUCAUCUGCUUUUAGGCAGAUGAACAUUCACAUAACUAAAAUAGAUACAGCAGGAGUUGUAAAUGCUGUUGGAUUUUUUAAGGCUCAAAGGUGCUAGUAUAUAAGAGCACAUUGCCAAAUAAGCUUUUUUUGUUCUCAUUUUCUAAAACAGUUUCCAUUUAUUUUUAAUUAAUGAUCAGUGUUUAUAGUGAGUUGGAAAACAUCCUCUUAAUUUCCUUCAGUGACCAUAAAAAAAAACAUUAAAAAAGCAGCUCUAGAGAAGGCUAUGGUGUUGAGUCUGUCAUAAUUAUUUGUAGAUACUUUAUCAUAGAACUGUAGUUUAUAAUUCACCGUCAUCUAGAGAAUAUUGAUUUAUAUUACAUGACUAAUGUAAAUAGGGCUCAGGCCACAUAAGACCGAAGACAUCAGAGGUUUAGUUAAUCACAUUUGAAUAUUUUAUUGCGCUGUGAUUGAUUUGCCAAAAAAAAUCCAAAUGGAAACACAUUGGGUUAUACAGCAGUGACUAUGAUAAAAUAUGAUAAUGUAUACUCACAGAACUUGCCUUCAUGGAGUUUAACAUGUUAAAAAUGUAAAUAUGGUAAUGGCAUCAAUUUCUCUUUUUAAAAUUGUUAAAUAAUGAUGUGUUUUUCUUUAAAAUGGAAUAGUUUGAAAUUUUAUCAAGUUGGUGUAUGUAAUGGUUGGGGAAGAUCAAAUGGGCUUGCUCAUGGCAUAUUCAAUCAUGACAUAACUAAUGUUUAUGGUCAUUUUGACUGUAAAGCAGUUUUAAAGUAUUUGUAUUUUUAUUUACAUGUUUUUAUUUCAUAAUGCACCACUGAGUACAAAAAAGGAAGUGUAAGGGUUACUGAUGAUGAAAUAAAGUGAGGGUGUUAAUGUAGAUUAAAGCAAGUUGAUGUAGGAAUUUGAGGAGAAAGAAGAAAUUAUAUGGGAACUCACAACUCCAUGGGGAAAAAAAUACAUAGUAAGAAUUGGGCAGUGAUGUAUCUUUUGGGGGAUUGGUCAUAAAUUUAAAUGAAACGAGGCAAACUGUGGUGUGAUUUUUUUUUUUUUCCCAGCAGCAUUUAGGUACUUGAUUCCAGGUGUAGAAAAAGCAAAUAGAUUUUUAACUUUUGAUAGAAGUAGAAACAGACCAGGGAGGUGAAGAUAUUCACAAAGGUGGUGAUUAUAGUACCAGAACAUGGAAUCUAAGCUCUUCGAGGGAUAAAUGAUGGAGAGGAAGUGGUGGAUUGUAUGAAAGUGGUGCUGACCCACGAACUGAAACCUUCAGUGAAAUGAAGCUAAAAGUGAGCCUAAAAGACAAGAAGGGUAAAGAGAGGACUUCAUAAAGGAACAAAAAAAGAAAAACAAUCUCCAGGCUUUAAAGAAUGACUACAAAUAAAUGUUUCCCAAGUGAGACCAUUUAUCUUGAGGAUAUGCAAGGAUCCAAAGAGUAUAUCUCCCAAGUAACCUCGGUUGAGGAACAGGGACAUUAGAACUUUUAAGAACUUCAAACAAAUGACGAAUUAAAGAUCUGUGUUCUGUGAUAGAGUGGGAAUUUGAAAUGUUAAGUGGUAAGUAAGAGUUCCUCAAGUGGGAAAGACAUACUACCUGGAAAAUCUCACAUCAGUAACUACAGAUAUUAAGCUAUUUCAGCAAAGAUGUGGGGGCUGAGCUGAGCAGGGAGUAAAGAGUGAGCACCCUAAAUUUCUCAUCCCUGAUGAGAAAAAUGAUUUCAUGGAAGAUGACCAACACUUGUUCUUGCAACUAAUCAGAAGUUCUGUAUUUUUGACAAAUAGCUUUCUAAAACCCACUUAAAGCACUUUGAAAUAUUUAGGGGGAAAAAAACAAACUUGUUUUAAGGUUUUGGAGAUUUUUAAAUAGGUCAGGAAAUUAUUUGCAAUUGUGAAAUUGUGAAGGUAUGACCAUUUUGAUAGGUAUAUUUAUGUUUUCAACGCAAAAGCACAAAAUAAAUAUCUCCAAUAACCAUUUUUAAAAUGUUCUUUCCAUAGCACAAUUUUUUUCCAACAGUAAUUACUUUCUUGUUCAUUCACAGACUUCUGAUCAUCUGACUUCAUAGUAAUUUCUAACCUUGUUAUUUAGCAAAGAGCUAACUUAGGUUUAAGAGGAAGGUCAACUCUCAUUUUCUUGUUCCCACUUGGUUCCAUUAUUACUGUUAUCUUUGUGUUUUUGUUUUGUUUUGUUUUUUCCCUCCCUCAGAGAUCUCUUUAUGCCACUUUUCCAUUUUGUAAAGUAUCUAUAAAGUGUUGUCUGUUUCAUUAUGCUGGAUGAGGGAAUGGGAACUUCAUUGUCAGGUCUUUUUCUUCCCUCAGUUCACCUUGUACUGUGUACAGAUAAAGUGAAGGCAUCUGUGUCAAUUCAUAUAUUAACUAUUAAUAAAGCUUAACUUAAAUGCAAA